GCCCGGAUAGCUCAGUCGGUAGAGCGUUAGGCUUUUAACCUAACGCUCCAGGGUUCAAGUCCCUGUUUGGGCG
rnacentral:tRNA from 1 species